rnacentral:rRNA from 1 species
GAUGAACGCUGGCGGCGUGCCUAAUACAUGCAAGUCGAGCGAACGGACGAGAAGCUUGCUUUUCUGAUGUUAGCGACGGACGGGUGAGUAACACGUGGAUAACCUACCUAUAAGACUGGGAUAACUUCGGGAAACCGGAGCUAAUACCGGAUAAUAUUUUGAACCGCAUGGUUCAAAAGUGAAAGACGGUCUUGCUGUCACUUAUAGAUGGAUCCGCGCUGCAUUAGCUAGUUGGUAAGGUAACGGCUUACCAAGGCAACGAUGCAUAGCCGACCUGAGAGGGUGGUCGCCCACACGGGACGGGAGACGGGCACCAGCCUCCAGCGGGGGGCAGAAGAGGGAAUUCGUCCGCAAGGGGCAAAGGCCGGAGGGAAAACCGCCGGGUGAGGAAUAAGGGUCUUCGGAUCUAAAACCUUUGUUUUAGGGAAAAAAAAGAGGUGAAAGAAAUUGUCCACUUCUGGAGGGUACCUAAUAAAAAACCCAGGGCUAACAAGGGC